UACCACAUGCAUAUACUGCUUCACCGGUACAAAAUGCAUGCGGAGCUCGAAAGCAGAAUAUCGGUUUUCUUGAACUUCACUAGCUGCUACCUCUAGUUUCUAUUACACUUCUAUAAAUCGAACUGUCUUCAUCACCAUUUCUAUUCCAUUUCUUCAGCUUCCAUAACCACUCUGCAGUUUCUAUCAAAUUCUUCGCUAUAUAUAUGAUCGGAACGGCGGGCUUUAGUUACGACCAUAUCAGAUGAUGAUCAGAUGAGAAAUGUAUAUAUCAGUGAGUGAUUUCCAUGCUAACCUUGUCAAAUGAACAGUUUCUUGCCGUUAGUUAUAUCUCUGUCUCGUUGUCUGUUCGACCUUGAACCUUCAACGUAUUAAUUCUAUCUAUAUCUCAAGUUUCUCAUAGCCUUCGGAUCAUCUAGAAUUCUUGAUUCAAUUAGCUGCAUUUUUCUUAGUAGAUCGAUAUUUAGUAUAAAGAUUUUAAUGACAAAUUAGUUCUGCAUAUAUAUAUGGCUGGAAUUAAGGGAAAAAUAGUUUCGAUGUUUGUUAGUCAUGAUCAUGGCUAGAACUCUAAAUUGAAAUUAAUCAUAAUAACGAAUCGUAAUUAGCAAUAAUUAGCAGGUAAUAACCAAAUAAAAUAAGGGUCAAGGUCAAUCAGACAACCAAGUUGAGGUAUUCGUAAGAACUGCUUGCUUGACGAGGCUUUGUAUGGACAUCAACAUUGUCAUCAUUUGUUGCACAAACCUCGCUAAUCAACCAUAUAUUCAACCUCUUGCUGACGGACAUGAUGAGAAAUCAAGAGAAGCAGCUGUGGUUCAAAGAGUAGUUGGUUACCCUUGGUAACGUGUAGUGAUCAGAGAGAUGAUUAGAUGAAUAUAGCUGGCAUAUGCAAAUACAGUCAGAAGUUUUUGGGUUCACCCAAAUAAUUCGGUUUUGUGUAUAUAUUUUAUAUUCUAAAAAUAAAUAUAUAGAUAAUAAAUAAAUAAGUUACUUCUCAUAAAAUUCAUUAAAUUUGAUACAUUUGUGUAUCAAUAUAGGGUGUCGGCCCAAUUUAUUAUGGAAUCACAUUGAUAUGACUACUUGCAUUUUCGUAUGAGAAAAUUUUACAAACGGUACUCCAAAUAAAAGUCAUUCAUCACUUUAGUAUAUCAAUUUCAAAAACUAUCAUUUAGUACCCCAACAUUAAAACUUGAACCACUUUUAGUACCUACUGUCUAUGACGGCGUCAACUCCAUUACCACGUAAACUAUUUCAUGGGCAAUUUUGUCUUUUCAUCUUCUCAGUUUUUCUUUUUCCUUUUUUCUUUGGCAAUAAUUUUUUUUUCUUUUUUCCUCUUUUUCCUCUCUCUCUCUCUCUCUCUCUCUCUCUCUCUCUCUCUCUCUCUCUCUCUCUCUCUCUCUCUCUCUCUCUCUCU